rnacentral:rRNA from 1 species
GCACUGGACUUUGAAUUUGCUUGUGUAGGAUAGGUGGGAGGCUUUGAAGCGUGGACGCCAGUUCGCGUGGAGCCAUCCUUGAAAUACCACCCUGGCAACUUUGAGGUUCUAACUCAGGUCCGUUAUCCGGAUCGAGGACAGUGUAUGGUGGGUAGUUUGACUGGGGCGGUCUCCUCCUAAAGAGUAACGGAGGAGUACGAAGGUGCGCUCAGACCGGUCGGAAAUCGGUCGUAGAG